AGUGAACGCUGGCGGUAGGCCUAACACAUGCAAGUCGAACGGCAGCACAGUAAGAGCUUGCUCUUACGGGUGGCGAGUGGCGGACGGGUGAGGAAUACAUCGGAAUCUACUUUUUCGUGGGGGAUAACGUAUGGAAACUUACGCUAAUACCGCAUACGACCUACGGGUGAAAGCAGGGGAUCUUCGGACCUUGCGCGAUUGAAUGAGCCGAUGUCGGAUUAGCUAGUUGGCGGGGUAAAGGCCCACCAAGGCGACGAUCCGUAGCUGGUCUGAGAGGAUGAUCAGCCACACUGGAACUGAGACACGGUCCAGACUCCUACGGGAGGCAGCAGUGGGGAAUAUUGGACAAAGGGCGCAAGCCUGAUCCAGCCAUACCGCGUGGGUGAAGAAGGCCUUCGGGUUGUAAAGCCCUUUUGUUGGGAAAGAAAAGCAGCAGGUUAAUACCCCGCUGUUCUGACGGUACCCAAAGAAUAAGCACCGGCUAACUUCGUG
rnacentral:rRNA from 1 species